UACGUAGGGGGCUAGCGUUAUCCGGAAUUACUGGGCGUAAAGGGUGCGUAGGUGGUUUCUUAAGUCAGAGGUGAAAGGCUACGGCUCAACCGUAGUAAGCCUUUGAAACUGGGAGACUUGAGUGCAGAAGAGGAGAGUGGAACUCCAUGUGUAGCGGUGAAAUGCGUAGAUAUAUGGAAGAACACCAGUGGCGAAAGCGGCUCUCUGGUCUGUAACUGACGCUGAGGCUCGAAAGCGUGGGGAGCAAACAGG
rnacentral:rRNA from 1 species